rnacentral:misc_RNA from 1 species
GAUGAAGAACGUAGCGAAAUGCGAUAAGUAAUGUGAAUUGCAGAAUUCAGUGAAUCAUCGAAUCUUUGAACGCACCUUGUACCCUUUGGCAUUCUGAAGGGUAUGCUCGUUUGAGUGUCAUUGUACUCUCACACUUCUAAUUCCUUUCGGGAUUGGGAGCGGUGGACUUGGGUGUUGCUGCUUUAGUUGUGGCUCACCUCAAAUAAGUUAGUGCAACUCUUGGUUGGACAUAGUACGGCGUGAUAAGUGUCUUCGCCGGCGCCUCUGUAAGGAGGGUGGCCGAUCGGGAGCUCUGUGCUUCAAACCGUCUUCGGACAAUCUUUGACAACUUGACCUCAAAUCGAGUAGGACUACCCGCUGAACUUAAGCAUAUCAAUAAGCGGAGGA